rnacentral:rRNA from 1 species
UACGUAGGUGUCGAGCGUUGUCCGGAUUUAUUGGGCGUAAAGAGCCCGCAGGCGGCUUGGCAAGUUUGAGGUGAAAUCUCCCGGCUUAACUGGGAGGGGCGUCGAAAACUGCCAGGCUUGAGGCAUGGAGAGGGAUGCGGAAUUCCCGGUGUAGUGGUGAAAUGCAUAGAUAUCGGGAGGAACACCAGUGGCGAAGGCGGCAUCCUGGCCAUGUCCUGACGCUCAGGGGCGAAAGCGUGGGGAGCAAACCGG